GUGCUCGCUUCGGCAGCACAUACACUAACAUUGGAACGAUACAGAGAAGAUUUGCAUGGCCCCUGCGCAAGGAUGACACGCAAAUCUGUUAAGUUCCAUAUUUUG
ensembl:snRNA LOC120101170 U6 spliceosomal RNA